AUGUGGGGGAUCCAACAUGGCGGCUGCGGCGACCCUGGCGAUGGCGGUGGAGCCCAUCAGAACGUAGUAGCGGGGACGGGGACCCGGUCCGCACUCACGGUGGCGUCCGCGGGGACAGCUGAGGGUGCUGGAGGGAAGAAAAGUGACGGAGAGCAGAAGGAGAGGCGGGCAGGCGCGCCGUGCGGCGUCGAGGCGAGAGCCGGCUCGAGCGAGCGCCGAGGGCCAGAACAGUGGGGAUGGCGGAGCCGCGCAGAGUCGCGUUCAUUAGCCUGUCACCGGUGAGGCGACGCGAGGCCGACUUCGCGGGCGCCGAGCGCGAGCCCCCCCGACUGGAGCCGCAGCCGUACCGCGAGCCGGCCCGGGCGGAGCCGGCCCCCCGCGCUGACGCGCAGCCCCCGGCGCGCGACAAGCCGCUCCCCCAGCGCGAGGUCAGCCGCGCCGAGCCGCCCAUGGCGCUGCAGCGCGAGCCCCCGCGGCCCGAGCCGCCGCCGCCGCCGCUGCCCCUGCAGACUCCCCCUCCGCGGGAGUCGGCUUCCCGGGCGGAGCCGCCGCCGCGACCGCCGAAGGAGACGGUUCGCCUGGAGCUGGUGCUCAAGGACCCCACGGACGAAAGCUGCGUGGAGUUCAGCUACCCGGAGCUGCUGCUGUGCGGAGAACAACGGGUACAGAGGGUCCCUCCCUCCCGGCCGCCCCACAGCCCGGGCGCCUCCGGACCCGCCGCCUGCCCGGGCUGCUCUGCACUUCGCUCGCCCCGGGGGUGGGGUGGCGGGGGCCGGGCAGCUAGACGGGGCGGGAGCUGCGCGGCUCGGCCCUCCUGGGUGGCCGAUGCUGCCCCCACCACACCGCGCCGAGCCGGUUUUCCUGUGCACCUUUCGAAACCUCAGCUUUUUCCUCCUUUUCCUUUCUGUUCCCCACACCAAAUCCCGAGGCCCUGUGAGCCGUGCGGCUAGCUUCUUGUGGCACUUCCAUCUGUCGUUCCGGUAGAAGGGAAGCGAAAAAAAAACCUUGGGGGACACGCCCCCCGGUCUGAAGCGGAGAGAUUGUGUGACCCCUUCUCGGCUCAUCCUCAUCCUUCCUCAACCCAGCUGUACCGUGCGCCAGGGCUGCUGAGAUGGGCUCGUGGCCGGGUGGUUUAUUUUCCUUGAUUGAAGGGGAUUUAAGAGAAAUUAAACAUUUUCAGAAACUAAUGAUUCCACGUUAGGAAUGAAAAAGUGGAUUCGUAAUGUGGUUGCACUUGUGUUGGUAAAUAUUGUUAGCUUUGUGUGUGUGUGUGUGUGUGUGUGUGUGUGUUGAGUUUGUGCACAUUGUCUUUGAAUGGAAAGGUCUCUUGUCUUACCCGGUGGCUGCCCAGUCAUAUUAUUUGAGUGGCUCUCAUUAGUUCGAAUUGGGAGCAUUUUGUCCGUUGUGGAUUUCUGGAGAAUGACGG
rnacentral:lncRNA from 1 species